GAACAUUGUUUCAACCUUCUGCGGUGUUUUUGAAAAGGCGGAUAAGAAAACACGGUCCCAGAUGUUCACAUUACGUAAAACUUGGAAUAAAGUGUUCCCUCCAGAGAAGUUGUAUGCAAUAGAUGUAUGUGUAAAUGCAAUU